AGAGCGGUGGUGGCCGUGGCGGAGCAAAGGACGAGCAGAACCAAAUCGUGAGAACAGGAAGGAAGGGUGAGGGAGCCCCUUAGUCCAUCUCCUUACACCCAUGUGGGGCCAUUCCAGAGAAGAUGACAUCCGAGGUGGCUUCCCAGUCUCCCCCAUCGUUCCUCCUUUGAACGUUUGACAGGCCGCAGGGGGCACCUUCCCCUUCCGCCGUCUUGGACCUGACCUCGCCUGCACAGUUUCAUGCCCAUUCUCGUUCCGCUUUCAGCAGAGGUGACAGUUGCGAGGGCCUCCGUCCGUUUCCCUCUUUUCUCUGUUCGGUUCCCUGAACUAGGCCCGUGGAACUUGAUGUAAAAGUAUUUUACCUUGAUCUGGCUCCUUGAGAGACCUGUAAAUGUGCUCGCUCACCCUCCCUCCCUCCCUCCCUCCCUGAAUCCCUGGUUGUCUAGUAAGAGGCUAACAAGAACCAAGUGGUGUAGAUGUAUCCAGUUUUAGAGAAUACAUGUUUUCCUGAAGGCUGUCUUGAUUUUUUUUAACUUGAAUUUUAAGUGCACCAAGGGGUUCGCUGUUUAUAAAUGGCAUUUUUAAUCAUAUGGCAGUUCUUCAUUUCUGUAAACAUAAGGCUCUUUAAUGGAUUACUUUGGAUACACCAUGUGUCCACUGUUUUCUUAAAGUGGGGCACACCUGUAGUACAGACUUGCCUAUUUACAGGACGCAUAUGAAAAGGAAGAGUUGAAUGUGGACCAUGAAUAGAAUGUUAAAUUCCUAAAACUAUAGCCACAUGAGACAACAGAGCUAUACGAAGCCAAAAAUCCUUUUUCCUUUUCCACGCCUGUCUAUAUGGCAUGCAAAAACAAACAAGAAAAGCCAGGGCGCAGCUAGUUCCGGCUGUGACGCUUCUUUAACGCACACCCUCGACACAUCUGCUGGCCUUGCUCUUUCCUGCUAUGACAGCAGGGUCCCCUUGCUGGGAGCACAAGCCAUAUUCUUCCCCAGUGGAGGUGUUCGGAGAAUGUCAAUGCCUCUGGACAAAGCUAGGCUAGCCUCGAACUGCUGAGGACAGGACAGGGUGCCGGCUGGUGCUGCCUCCACACCCUGUACCUGCGUCUGUGAGCCUAGAGACCAUGAGGCCUCCUGGGCUUCCAGGCUGCAGCGUGGGUCACGUGGGAGCCAGGUGGGCGGUGCUGUGGGAGGGGCAAAGUAUGCACAGGCCACGUUAGCCAUCCCAAUUAGGUGCUGGUAAGAAUACUUGGCUGGGAAGCUAUUUUUGUGAAACUUUCAUGAAGUCCAUCAGUUCUGCUGUUAUUCCAUAGGCAUUGGUAUUAUUAUCAGCUUAUUCCUUUAUCUCAUAGUUUUCUUCUCUAGGAAUUGAAAAUCUGUACCUUCUGUGUUUCCACUUGUUCAGUCUUUAGCAUCUUAAACAUAUGGAGGACAGUUACAAUAAUAUCCUAUUAAUUUUAUCACCUAUGGCACAUUUGUCAGUUUCUGAUUCUUUUUCCCCCUUCCUCAUUAUUGGUUAGGUUUCCCAGCUUCUUGGCUUGCCUGGUAAUUUUUGGUUGGAUGCCAGACACUGUGAGUUUUACAUUGUUGGGUGCUGGAUAUUUUGUAUUACUAUAAAUAUCCUGAAGCUCUGUUCUAGGAUGCAGUUCAUUUCUUGCAAAUAGUUUCUUUUGGCCUUGUUUUUAAGCUUUAUUAGGCACAACUGGAGUGGUGUUUAGUCUAGAGUUGGUUUUCCCCAACUACUGAGGCAAAAUCCAUCUAGCCCUUCUCCACAUAACCUUUUGAUUCCUGGGGUUUUCUAGCUCUGGCCUGCCCUCUGUGAGCUCCGGGAAUGAAUGGUUCAGUUCUCCGUGGAUGGUUAGAGGUAGUCUCUGUAAUGGGUGCUGCCCCCAUGUGCACGGGCUGAUCGAUACUCAGCUAGAGACUCGGGCCUUUGCAGACAGGUUUAUGUCUGGUGUCUUCCCGAAGGCAUCUCACCUACAGGGUCCCUCUCUUCCCUACAGUGCAGUUUGCUCACAGGGUGCCCUUCCCUCUGGCUUACCUUGUGUCGUCUCCCCAAACGCUGUUUGGAUGUUCUACCUAACACAGCUGAGAAAGGUCUACUCCCAGCCAUCUCUGAUUGGUCUUUUACUCUGUACGAUUCCAGCGCCAGUGUGGGGGGUUACCAGGUUUGUAUCCUUUACAACUGGUUUCUUGCUGGCGCUAAGCAGGUGUUUCUUUUAGAGAAAUAUUUUCAUUCCUCAGGACAAAAAGUUGUGACUUGUGGAGUGCAGGAACUUUAUUUCGCUACCAGGUUUCCUCAACAUCCUCACUUUUCUGUCUUAAAGGUCAGAUCUGCUUUGUAUGGCUGAUAAGAUCUGCAACUUGGAACACCUAGCAGUCAUCUCUUACAAGUGCCUCCUAAAACAGGGAGAGGGGGGCUUUUCAAAAUGUUUUCUAUGCAGAAUCACGUCAUGCUCCUUAAAUAGAGACAGUCAAGGCCAAACCUUAGGGAUGAGUCAAAGACUUGAAUGGAGGCCUUGAGCGUAUUCUUACCACACUGCAUCGGUCCCAUGAGGGAGAAGAAACAUACUGGGCUUUAGCCAUAACAUAACUCAAUCAAACCCUUUGCUGGAGAUAUUUCUUCAACCCGCAGCUGAGUUACAAUGUCUGUCGCCAUCCUGUUUACUAGGAAGUCAGAGGAGGGUGGGAGACUGGACAAGAAAGCAGGCAGUAGUAGAAACUAAAAUUGCUCUGGGUCGGCUUGCCCUUGCUUGUGGCCCAGCUGACUUCUCAAGGAUUGGCUGUUUGGUUCCUGUACCUUUACCCAAGGAGGUGGAUCUCCUCGCGCUGAGCUGGGUCAGGGAGCUGCUUGUAGAUUGUCCCAGGGCUGUACUGGUGCCUUGAGGUCUGUUACGUAUGCCAGCCUCUACCUUUUUAAAAAUAAUAUAUCCAAGCUCCUUAUAAUAAGCCACAGCCUGGAAGAUAUCAGACGUGUCAAAUGCUUCUGUUUAAAGGGCAUAUUUUAUUGAAGGCAGUUGUGUCCCUUUAAGGCCACCUGUCUGCUUUUGGAUAAAAUGGACCAAAAAAGCCAACUCAAUACCCAAGCAUUGGCGUUAGUGGUAUUUACAGAAAGCUUCAAGCACAAAUAGCAGCUAAGACUGAGACACAGGAUUGUAAGCAGUGCUCUUUUCCCAAUGUGACGAGCCCCUUGUUGCUGAGGGCGAGUGCCAGCUGGGCCGGCUGGGUCCUAGUUGGGCUACUCCUGUUUAAAAGGUAAUAAUUUAACAUUCUUUACACCUGGGAAUGUAACCUACUGGGAUAAGAUACUGUUUGGGUGUAAAAGGCACACGUAAGAACUAUCUAAGUAGCCCCUCGCCUCUCCGAAUGUGUCUAUCAAAUACCAAAUGUGGAUGUUUGUACAGCCAUUAGGCCUGGGUUUUCAUGGCCUCUAAGCUAAUACUGUUUUGGGGGCUGGCAUAUGGAGGUCCACUGAUCACUGUACUUGCAGAUUGGGAAACAAAGGUGAGCAGAGGAAUAGAAUGACGUGGGUCUACAGGUCCUGACCUAGAAAAAUAAGACGUGGUGAGUGAAGUGUCAUAUGUAAAAUACAUACUACUACGUAAAAUAGAAAUCGAAGGUUGUUGCGAAUCAGUGAGUAGAGUCUGGCCCCAAAACUGUGAGCCUACGUGUGGCUGACUGUCCAAACCAAGGAAAAUGUCAGGAACAGCACAAGCCAAAUUAUUAACAGUGGUUAGUUACUUCAGUAGGAGACUGGGGGCAGAAAGGGUAGAUUAGCCUGGGAAGGUCUAGCUUUGUACGAUUUUCUAUAGUUGAGAUUUUUAACUUUUUCCGUGUUUUUUAUAAAACUCAAAAACUCCAACAUUUUGGAUAAGUAGGUGACACAAAACACCAAGUGAUCUAGGGAAUCCAAGUCGCUCAUUGUCCCAAACCCAUUUGUUAAGCAUGUGACUUUUGGGCAUAUCAUUCAUCUCUCUGAAGGUUGAAUGUUCCCAUAAGGCAGGGAGAAUGCCUGCUUUAUCUCCUAUGAUUAUCAUAAAAACGUAAACGUUGCAACAAGAUCACGGGUGAAAAUACAAAACUCGAGAGUAAUACAGGAGUGUCGGGCUCUAGCAGUCUUCUGUAAGCUAGAACAAGAAGUCGAUUAUAUCUAACUUCCCUCUUCGUACUAGGGCUCCCAGUUUUCACUAAGAAGGUGUGUUUUCUCCAACAUAGGUUUUGGUAGUACCCACGACUGGCCCGGCCCCAGUUCAAAUGCCUCAGCUGGGACAAGUGUAAGAUGAUCUGGCCGUGGAGCCUCAGUUCCUAAACUGGUGGUUCAUUUCUCCUAACGUAGCCGAUAUCGGUUUUCUUCCUACACUUUCCCCACUUCAGAGGGCAGAAACAUCCCCGUGAUGGAUGGAGUUGAUCUUUCCCCUUUCAUGCCGGGAUAUACAAUCAGAUGUCAGUGGGUUUUUCAUUACAAGUAGUUUCUGACCAAAAAACAUCCAGGUGGCUGCCUAACAGGGUAUCUCAGGAUAUCCACUCACUUCAACCAUGGCUAUCACAUGGCCCACGAACCUGGACUUUAACUAUAGACAACCUGGGGGGACAGUAUCUCCUGAAGAGCGGACCAGUAAACCACUUUAAACAGACACACCAAUUCCACAGUUCAUGCUUUUACCCUAGGCAUAGAUGUGGGGUGCAAGAUUAUGAACUACGUUAACGUGUUUCUCCCAUCUUUGCUGAGGUAAUAAGCUACAGCCUAACUACCAUGCCAGUUAGGAUAGACCCGUCCCAUCGUCCCCAACAGCUUAGCCCUCUACCCUUUGCAGUCCUUUCCCCUGUGCAAGCUCGAGCCAGCCAGUGUACCACUGACUCUUUUAGAAUUUCAUUUACGUGCAAUCACGUGUAGUCUUGGGUCUUUGUUUUUUUUCCCCUGAGCAUGCUUAGGGACUCAUUCAUGUUCUUCUUCAGUAGCUCAUCCCCUUUUAUUGCCGAGAACUACUCCAUGAUACGGAUGUACUAUAAGUUAGCUAUUCAGCUGCUGAUGAACAUUUGGGCUGAAGCUACUAUAACACUGUUCCCUCUGCUUCCACCAGCAGGACACGGAGGCCCCACGGCAUGGGUCUCACCAAUGCUCGAAGAUCAAAAGAAAGAAAAAGCCCUGACACAACUUUACAGUGCUAAUCCCAACACACCUGCAGACAUCAUUAACUCUUAAAGCAAAGGCCACCGGACGUGAGCAGAGAGGGUGCCUACUUAACCCCACAGCACGGGACCGAGGAGGAAACCUGCACUCACGGCAACAGCCUACGGAGACUGGGCAGGGCAGGGCAAAAGCCCUACUGCAGGUAAGGACUGGAUCCUGUAGACUUUAUUCUUAAAAAGGAAUCAGCCGAGCCCAGACUAUCUAGUCUUCCAACAAAAGGAAAAUGUCUUCAAUAAAAAAUCUUUUAAAACA